ensembl:snoRNA small nucleolar RNA SNORD60
AGCCCUUGAUGACAAACUCUUUAUUUCUGACACCUCGUAUGAGCGCUGCUUACGCAGCCCUUGAUUCUACAAUUUACCUGAGGCUC